GACGAACGCUGGCGGCGUGCCUAACACAUGCAAGUCGAACGAGGUCCAAGGGAGCUUGCUCCCUGAAGACCUAGUGGCGAACGGGUGAGUAACACGUGAGAAACCUGCCCUCGAGUGGGGAAUAACCCGGGGAAACCCGGGCUAAUACCGCAUACGCUCCUCUGGUCGCAUGGCCGGAGGAGGAAAGUUUUUCGCUCAAGGAGGGUCUCGCGGCCUAUCCGCUUGUUGGCGGGGUAACGGCCCACCAAGGCUACGACGGGUAGCUGGUUUGAGAGAACGAUCAGCCACACUGGGACUGAGACACGGCCCAGACUCCUACGGGAGGCAGCAGUGGGGAAUCUUGCGCAAUGGGCGAAAGCCUGACGCAGCAACGCCGCGUGCGGGAUGACGGCCUUCGUGGUUGUAAACCGCUUUCAGCAGGGACGAAAAUGACGGUACCUGCAGAAGAAGCUCCGGCUAACUACGUGCCAGCAGCCGCAGUAA
rnacentral:rRNA from 1 species